UAAGAGAGCAGGGGAGGAGACAAAGGUGAAGGAGACGGUGGGAGCAGUGAUACUUACCAAGCUGUUGAGUUCGGCACCCAGAGUACUUCUGAACCCAUUUCAGUUUUGGAAACUUGCUUCAAGUGCACGCGGACAGAGAAGCCCUGUUUGCAGAACAAAUGGAAGGCUCAGGAGUCUAUAGAUCAUCAUUCUCACAAGAAAUCAUUUGGCUGUGGUGUGGGAAAUGGACCCUUGGAAGGUGAGAAUGGAAACAGAGCUCACCAGAAGGCACCUGGUUUAGGCUCCUCUGUCCAUUGGAUUCUCCAGGCAAGAAUACUGGAGUGGAUUGCCAUGCCCUCCUCCGGAGGAUCUUCCCAACCCAGGGAUCGAACCUUCAUCUCUUAUGUCUCCUGUCUUGGCAGUGUUCUUCACUGAAUGUAUCCAGCGGGGUGUGAUGGAGCUGGCUUGUGUGGGCCUCUGUGUUUCCUGAUGCGAACUUGAAAUUGGGCAUAGUGGGAAUAUUUACAUGACAGGAAACAUCAAAUGCUACAAAUUGGAGCUUCUGCUCACUACACAGCAAGCUGGUUUAUGUUCACAUGAUUAGGUCCAUCUUUGCAUUUUCUGAUCCAGUAAUCAAUGUUUAACUCUUGUAAGUGAUAAAAGAAACAAGACAAAAGAAAAUUGACUCUAAAAUAUUUUACUCUGUUCA
ensembl:lncRNA